rnacentral:rRNA from 1 species
GAUGAACGCUGGCGGCGUGCCUAAUACAUGCAAGUCGAGCGAACAGACGAGGAGCUUGCUCCUCUGACGUUAGCGGCGGACGGGUGAGUAACACGUGGAUAACCUACCUAUAAGACUGGGAUAACUUCGGGAAACCGGAGCUAAUACCGGAUAAUAUAUUGAACCGCAUGGUUCAAUAGUGAAAGACGGUUUUGCUGUCACUUUUAGAUGGAUCCGCGCCGCAUUAGCUAGUUGGUAAGGUAACGGCUUACCAAGGCAACGAUGCGUAGCCGACCUGAGAGGGUGGUCGGCCACACUGGAACUGAGACACGGUCCAGACUCCUACGGGAGGCAGCAGUAGGGAAUCUUCCGCAAUGGGCGAAAGCCUGACGGAGCAACGCCGCGUGAGUGAUGAAGGUCUUCGGAUCGUAAAACUCUGUUAUUAGGGAAGAACAAAUGUGUAAGUAACUAUGCACGUCUUGACGGUACCUAAUCAGAAAGCCACGGCUAACUACGUG